UGCGGAAGGAUCAUUAACGAAUUGCGUUCGAGGUUGUUGCUGGCUUCCCCCAAGAAGCAUGUGCACACCUUGUAAUCCAUUUCAACCUCACUCGUGCACUUCAGAGGACCGUCAGGUUCUCUUUUAUUACACAAACCUUUAUUAUUGUCCAUGUAGAACGUGUUUAUUAAACAUAAUACAACUUUCAACAACGGAUCUCUUGGCUCUCGCAUCGAUGAAGAACGCAGCGAAAUGCGAUAAGUAAUGUGAAUUGCAGAAUUCAGUGAAUCAUCGAAUCUUUGAACGCACCUUGCGCUCCUUGGUAUUCCGAGGAGCAUGCCUGUUUGAGUGUCGUGUAAUUCUCAAUCCCGUUUGGUUUUGAAUCAGACGUGGCUUGGAUUUGGGAGCUUGCUGGUACCCUGCAUUGUGGGGUUCGGCUCUCCUUGGAUGCAUUAGCUCGGUCACGUUAGUUGCCCGACGGUUCACGGUGUGAUAGUCUAACUUCAUCGCCGUUGUGACCGCCUCGGUGCCUGUGCCUGCCGGCUUCUAAUCUGCUGUGUCUCUUUAGAUGCGCAUACACUUUGACGGUUGACCUCAAAUCAGGUAGGACUACCCGCUGAACUUAAGCAUAUCGAUAAGCGGAGGAAAAGAAACUAACAAGGAUUCCCCUAGUAACUGCGAGUGAAGCGGGAAAAGCUCAAAUUUAAAAUCUGGCGGGUUCCCCGUCCGAGUUGUAAUCUGGAGAAGCGUUUUCCGUGUCGGACCGUGUACAAGUCCCUUGGAAUGGGGCGUCAUAGAGGGUGAGAAUCCCGUCCAUGACACGGACUACCGAUGCUUUGUGAUACGCUCUCGAAGAGUCGAGUUGUUUGGGAAUGCAGCUCAAAAUGGGUGGUAAAUUCCAUCUAAAGCUAAAUAUUGGCGAGAGACCGAUAGCGAACAAGUACCGUGAGGGAAAGAUGAAAAGCACUUUGGAAAGAGAGUUAAACAGUACGUGAAAUUGUUGAAAGGGAAACGCUUGAAGUCAGUCGCGUCCGUCGAGACUCAGCCUUGCCUUUGGGCCUGGUGUAUUUCUUGGUGGACGGGUCAACAUCGAUUUUGAAUGGCAGAUAAAGGUCUGGGGAAUGUGGCACCUCCGGGUGUGUUAUAGCCCCUCUCCGUAUAUGCUGUUUGGGAUCGAGGAACGCAGCACGCCCUUGUGGCCGGGGUUUUA
rnacentral:rRNA from 1 species